GGGUUGUGAGGUUAAGCGACUAAGCGUACACGGUGGAUGCCCUGGCAGUCAGAGGCGAUGAAGGGCGUGCUAAUCUGCGAUAAGCGCCGGUAAGGUGAUAUGAACCGUUAUAACCGGCGAUACCCGAAUGGGGAAACCCAGUGUGAUUCGUCACACUAUCAUUAACUGAAUCCAUAGGUUAAUGAGGCGAACCGGGGGAACUGAAACAUCUAAGUACCCCGAGGAAAAGAAAUCAACCGAGAUUCCCCCAGUAGCGGCGAGCGAACGGGGAGGAGCCCAGAGCCUGAAUCAGCAUGUGUGUUAGUGGAAGCGUCUGGAAAGGCGCGCGAUACAGGGUGACAGCCCCGUACACAAAAGCGCAUAUGCUGUGAGCUCGAUGAGUAGGGCGGGACACGUGGUAUCCUGUCUGAAUAUGGGGGGACCAUCCUCCAAGGCUAAAUACUCCUGACUGACCGAUAGUGAACCAGUACCGUGAGGGAAAGGCGAAAAGAACCCCGGCGAGGGGAGUGAAAAAGAACCUGAAACCGUGUACGUACAAGCAGUGGGAGCCCCACCACUAAGCCAGUGGUGAACUCCACAUACGCAUCCUUUGCUGAGGAGACGGUUAACGGAGCGAAAGCGACGUUCAACCUCAAAAGAAGCAGAGGGGGCUUAGUGGUGGGGUGACUGCGUACCUUUUGUAUAAUGGGUCAGCGACUUAUAUUCUGUAGCAAGGUUAACUGUAUAGGGGAGCCGGAGGGAAACCGAGUCUUAACCGGGCGUUAAGUUGCAGGGUAUAGACCCGAAACCCGGUGAUCUAGCCAUGGGCAGGUUGAAGGUUGGGUAACACUAACUGGAGGACCGAACCGACUAAUGUUGAAAAAUUAGCGGAUGACCUGUGGCUGGGGGUGAAAGGCCAAUCAAACCGGGAGAUAGCUGGUUCUCCCCGAAAGCUAUUUAGGUAGCGCCUCGUGAAUUCAUCUCCGGGGGUAGAGCACUGUUUCGGCUAGGGGGCCAUCCCGGCUUACCAACCCGAUGCAAACUGCGAAUACCGGAGAAUGUUAUCACGGGAGACACACGGCGGGUGCUAAUGUCCGUCGUGAAGAGGGAAACAACCCAGACCGCCAGCUAAGGUCCCAAAGUCAUGGUUAAGUGGGAAACGAUGUGGGAAGGCCCAGACAGCCAGGAUGUUGGCUUAGAAGCAGCCAUCAUUUAAAGAAAGCGUAAUAGCUCACUGGUCGAGUCGGCCUGCGCGGAAGAUGUAA
rnacentral:rRNA from 1 species